rnacentral:ncRNA from 1 species
UGGUAAACCUGUCGAAAGGCAGGGACACAAAGCCAUAGGGUCUAAGAUCGAAAGAUUAUGACAGCCGGUUGCCG